UGAGACUGGACCUACAUCCGGGAGAGGAAGAGGACGAGUGUGGACAGAAGACAGUUUGGAGCUGAAAUGUCAACAGUGUCCUCUGUGGUCCAUUGGAAAUACACGUAGCUGCUAUGAAGACUUCAAACACAAGCGCCCUGAUGUGAAAAGUUGGAGACCUAAUGGACCGGAUGCUCGAGCGAUGUGGGGAACGGUUGAUUGCUGCAGUGUGUUUCCAUUCAACGGGGCAUGGAGAGAGUGGUGACCUAAGGGAGACCCUGUAAUUAUCCUCUGUGUCUGUGACAGGCCCGGAUAAUCAGUCUCACUGGGAAUACUGGCAGAGAUCUGUGGACGAGUGAUUCUGAAAGACCCUAAUCCUCAAUGAAGCUCACUCGCAGCUCUAACACUGCUAGCCGGAGUGCUCUCACAAGACGCCUUUUCUUGACACACUCACAGGUCACCGUGUGCGUAAUCCCUCACGUAUUAUUUUUAAGUCUCUGUCUAUAUUGUAUUUCCCAGUCCUGAUUGCUCAGGAGCAGAUGUUUCAGCACAUUGUAUUUUUUUUUUCUUUUUUCUCCAGCAGAGGUUAUGACCAUGGAAAUGUAAUAGAGCAACAGGGUGAAAAGCUGUCUAAAAUUACCCUUUGUAUCAGUAUAUAUAUUAGUUUAAAUGUUAUAUUUUUAUGGUUAUAGAUUUGUUUGUCCUGUUGAAUAUAAUGAAACUAUUUGUAUCAAAA